AUUGAACGCUGGCGGCAGGCCUAACACAUGCAAGUCGAGCGGUAGAGAGAAGCUUGCUUCUCUUGAGAGCGGCGGACGGGUGAGUAAUGCCUAGGAAUCUGCCUGGUAGUGGGGGAUAACGUUCGGAAACGGACGCUAAUACCGCAUACGUCCUACGGGAGAAAGCAGGGGACCUUCGGGCCUUGCGCUAUCAGAUGAGCCUAGGUCGGAUUAGCUAGUUGGUGGGGUGAUGGCUCACCAAGGCGACGAUCCGUAACUGGUCUGAGAGGAUGAUCAGUCACACUGGAACUGAGACACGGUCCAGACUCCUACGGGAGGCAGCAGUGGGGAAUAUUGGACAAUGGGCGAAAGCCUGAUCCAGCCAUGCCGCGUGUGUGAAGAAGGUCUUCGGAUUGUAAAGCACUUUAAGUUGGGAGGAAGGGCAGUAAAUUAAUACUUUGCUGUUUUGACGUUACCGACAGAAUAAGCACCGGCUAACUCUGUG
rnacentral:rRNA from 1 species